rnacentral:rRNA from 1 species
UACGGAGGGUGCAAGCGUUGCUCGGAUUCAUUGGGCGUAAAGGGUGCGUAGGUGGCGGGGUAAGUCAGGGGUGAAAUUUCGGAGCUUAACUCCGAAACUGCAUUUGAUACUGCCUUGCUUGAGGACUGGAGAGGAGACUGGAAUUCACGGUGUAGCAGUGAAAUGCGUAGAGAUCGUGAGGAAGACCAGUGGCGAAGGCGGGUCUCUGGACAGUUCCUGACACUGAGGCACGAAGGCCAGGGGAGCAAACGGG